rnacentral:rRNA from 1 species
GAUGAACGCUGGCGGCGUGCCUAACACAUGCAAGUCGAACGGAGUUACGAGAGCUUGCUUUUGUUAACUUAGUGGCGAACGGGUGAGUAAUGCGUGAGCAAACCUGCCCUUCAGAGGGGGACGAACAGUUGGAACGACUGCUAAUACCGCAUAAUGUAUUUUAGGAGGCAUCUCCUGGAUACCAAAGGAGAAAUCCGCUGAAGGAUGGGCUCACGUCUGAUUAGCUAGUUUGGUGAGGUAAC